GCGGCGGCUGCGGGGCUUGCAGCCAGGCGGGCGACGGACACAAUCUCCUCCACCUUCUGCUUGGCGAAGCCCAGGCGGGCGGCCAGCGCGGGCGGCAGGUGCGGCUCCGCCUCGGGCGUCUUGGGGGCUUCUAGCUCGAGGCCCAGGUCGUAGGGCAGGUGCUGCAGCGGUGCGGAGGAGGUGACCACCAGCCGGUCUGACGACACGGCGCCGGUGUCAAGCAGCGCACGCAGCAGAGCCACCGCCGUGCCUGUUUUGAGCGGAAGGUAGGGAGCCAGGGCACGGGCGGACGUGUGAGCAAGUGAGAUCACGGCCCAGUCACCACAAUCCCACACAAUCCCACAAACGGUAAAUCCGGACAAUAUGGCGAAC
rnacentral:lncRNA from 1 species